ACCAUAGCAAACCCCUUUUUGUCUCUGCCUGUAUCUUACUUUUAGACUGCUGUACAUGGUAGGAAACUCUUCAUCCCAUGGGGUCACAAAGCAGAGGCCACUGGUCCCUUGCAGAAAUCCAGAAUAACAGACUAGAAAAUAUAAUUUUCCAAAAAUAAAAUUUAGGCCAUUUACAGUUCUGAACUCUGUAUUUUCCCAAAUAAGGAUCCUGAAAUAAAGAAACCAAGCAAAAUGACCACAGUUUCAUUAUAGAAAGGGUGUUUUAAUAUAGAAGGCAGGAAGGACGUGAUCUUGGACGAGGAGCAUCUUUAAGUUGAGGAGGUGUAAGAGGAAGCUUGCUGCGCGGCCCUUGUGGUUCUCAUUUUACUAUGAUGUACAUGAGGGGACCCCUCCUUUUAAUGACUUGUGUGUUGGGGGCACAGAAGACCUUUAAGCUGGGAACUGAUGCUCUGCGUUAGAAAUACUAGCGCAGCAGCGGUGCUCAGUGUGAACUAAAGGGCGGAGAAACGGGAGCAGCGGGCGGUCUGGAGGCCGAGCCUGGAUGGAGGUUUGCCAGCCCCCAUCAGUGCCGAAGGCCCUGUGAUAGGGGCGUACACGCAUUACGUCCUUUAAUUACUCUCUGUUUCCGGAGGCUGGCCAUGAGGAGGCUUGUUUCAAUCCAUAUGUGUUCCCAGGCCAUCUACACUGAGGUUCCGGAGAACGGCUGGGCUAGAACGUUUAUGAGACUUGAACAUUCUUUCAUUCACUCAACAAACAUUUAUUGGAUGUCUACUAAGCACCAAGGGUUGUGUUCAUGA
rnacentral:lncRNA from 1 species